rnacentral:misc_RNA from 1 species
AAGUUGUACCAAAGUUUCCGUAGGUGAACCUGCGGAAGGAUAAUUAACACGUAUCCAAACGUAAAAAACCCCCCCCGUGAACAUUCAAUCCUGCUCUUGUAACCCGCGUAGUUCGCAAUCUCUGGUAAAUCAUAGCCCGGAAAGUAGUUUUGAUUCAGAACAUUGGAACAGUUACAAUCGAGCGGUAGUUUCAUAGGCAUUGUUUCCCCAAGCAGUCAGUGUCUGAAAGUGUCACUGAUUGUGCAAGGAUAGCGCUUCACGGGCAGGAGCUAUGCCAAAGGGUCCCCAUGCCCCCUUAUAACCCCACAGUUUAAUGUGAGACUCAAUGCAAUACAUUGGGUAAAAAAACCGAACAACUGUUAACCAUGGAUAUCUUGGUUCUC